UACGGGGGGAGCAAGCGUUGUUCGGAUUUACUGGGCGUAAAGGGCGCGUAGGCGGCGCAACAAGUCACUUGUGAAAUCUCCGGGCUUAACCCGGAGCGGCCAAGUGAUACUGCGGGGCUAGAGUGCAGAAGGGGCAACUGGAAUUCUCGGUGUAGCGGUGAAAUGCGUAGAUAUCGAGAGGAACACCUGCGGCGAAGGCGGGUUGCUGGGCUGACACUGACGCUGAGGCGCGAAAGCUAGGGGAGCGAACGGG
rnacentral:rRNA from 1 species